rnacentral:lncRNA from 1 species
GUGCGACAUGUUUACGCUGGACAGAAGGAUAGACGGAUAGAUAGACGGACGGACGGACAGAAUGACUGAUAGAUGGAGGAACGGACGGAUGGAAGGAAGACAGACAGACAGACGGACGGACGGAUGUAUACAAUAAUACGUCCUGUCAAAAUUGUGACGGGCGUGUAAAAACGCAAUGAAAUGAAAAAAAACUCUUAAUUAA